GGACCAAUUUGUUGGUCGUGCCUCGGUACGUACUGGUAUUAUUGGUUUCUCCCUUCUGAAGAACCUUGAUGUCAUUAAUUUGGUGUCUUGGGGAAUCAGGACUGUUACUUUGAAAAAUUAGAGUGUUUAAAGCAGGCUCGCGCUUGAAUACAUUAGCAUGGAAUAAUGAAAUAGGACGUUUGAUUCUAUUUUGUUGGUUUCUAGGAUCGACGUAAUGAUUAAUAGGGAUAGU
rnacentral:rRNA from 1 species